AGGACGAACGCUGGCGGCGUGCUUAACACAUGCAAGUCGAGCGGUGAAGCCCUUCGGGGUGGAUCAGCGGCGAACGGGUGAGUAACACGUGGGCAACCUGCCCUCAGCUCUGGGAUAACUCCGAGAAAUCGGGGCUAAUACCGGGUAUGACCACCGACGGCAUCUUCGGUGGUGGAAAGCUCCGGCGGCUGAGGAUGGGCCCGCGGCCUAUCAGCUUGUUGGUGGGGUUACGGCCUACCAAGGCGACGACGGGUAGCCGGCCUGAGAGGGCGACCGGGCCAACGACUGGGACUGAGACACGGCCCAGACUCCUACGGGAGGCAGCAGUGGGGAAUAUUGCGCAAUGGGCGAAAGCCUGACGCAGCGACGCCGCGUGAGGGAUGAAGGCCUUCGGGUUGUAAACCUCUUUCAGCAGGGACGAAGCGAAAGUGACUGUACCUGCAGAAGAAGCACCGGCUAACUACGUGCCAGCAGCCGC
rnacentral:rRNA from 1 species